CCUCGGCCUCCUAAAGUGCUGGGAUUACAGGCGUGAGCCACGGCGCCCCGCCUGCUUUUCUCCUUUCUGGCUACAUUGUGAAUGUGAGAGCUGGAGCGUGAAUACGCACCUUAGACUAUGAGUGGAAACCAUGUGCUAAGGAUGAUAGAGCCAAAGAUAAGAGCCCGGUUUCCUGGCAUCGUGGGACGGCGCGUCACCUCUAGAGAGACUACUACCUCCCUAGAGAGAUUUUUAACGAUGCUGUGACUACAACCCUCUGUUUAGUUAGUGGAAUUGAGAACAAGGCCCAGGUGGAUGAUUGAGGACUAAACCCCAAACUUGCCUUGGAUCACUCCACUGUUUCAGAGAUGAAGUCUCACUUUGUCACCUGGAAUGGAGUGCAGUGACAUGAUCUCGGGUCAUUGCAGCCUUGACCUCCCAGGCUCAAGCAAUCCUUCCACCUCAGCCUCCUGAGUAGCUGGAACUACAAGCACAUGCCACCACAACUGGCUAUUUUUGUAUUUUUUUGUAGAGAUAGGGUUUUGUCUUGUUGCAUAGGCUGGUCUCGAAUUCCUGAGCUGAGGCAAUCCUCCCAUCUUGUUCUCCCAAAGUGCUGGGAUUACAGGCGCAAGCCAUCACGCCAGGACUGUAUUUUGUAUUUCUUUGAUAACAAGGCCAUUAUUUUAUUGUAGGCUCAUUAAUCAUUUGAGUUCCUUUAUUUCAGAUAAUUUUCUUUUUUUAUUUUUAUUUUUUUGAGACAGAGUCUCCCUCUGUCCCCAAGGCUGGAGUGCAGUGGCAUGAUAUCGGCUCACUGCAAGCUCUGCCUCCCGGGUUCACGCCAUUCUCCUGCCUCAGCCUCCCGAACAGCUGGAACUACAGGCGCCCACCACCAUGCCCAGCUAAUUUUUUGUAUAUUUCGUAGAGCCAAGGUUUCACCAUGUUAGCCAGGAUGGUCUCGAUCUCCUGACCUCAUGAUCUGCCUGCCUUGGCCUCCCAGAGUGCUGGGAUUACAGGCGUGAGCCACCGUGCCUGGCUUCUUUUUGUUUUUUUGAAACAGGGUCUCACUCUGUCACCCAGACUGGAGUGCAGUGGUGCAAUCAUAGCUUGGUGUAAUCUUGACCCCCUGGGCUCAAGGAAUCCUCUUGCCUUGGCCUCCUGAGUAUCUGGGACUACAGGCAUGAGCCACCAUGCUAUGCAAAUUUAAAAAAAAAAAUUUGUAGAGAUGGGGGUCUCGCUUUUUAUUGCCCAGGCUGGUUUUUUUUUUUUUUUUCUUUUAGAUUCAGGGGGUGCAUAUGCGGGUUUGUUACAUGGAUAUGUUGUGUGAUGCUAGGGUUUGGGCUUCUGUUGAGCCCAUCACCUGAAUAGUGAGCAUAGUAUCCCAUAGGUAGUUUUUCAACCCUUGCCUCCCUCCCUUGCCCAUUUUGGAGAUGCCAGUGUCUGUUGUUCCCCAUCUUUAUGUCCAUGUGUACCCAAUGUUUAUCUCCCACUUAUAAGAACAUGCGGUAUUUGGUUUUCUGUUUCUGUUUUGCUGCAAAAGACAUGAUUUCAUUCUUUCUGAUGGUUGCAGGAGUCAGAUUUUGAAUCCAGGUCUGAAUCAAAGCUUAUGCCUUUUGACCGGGCACAGUGGCUCAUGCCUGUAAUCCCAACACUUUGGGAGGCUGAGGCAGGCUGAUCACUUGAGACCAGAAGUUCGAGACCAACCUAGGCAACAUGGUGAAACCCUGUCUCUACUAAAAAUACAAAAAUUAGCCAGGCAUGGUGGCACAUACCUGUAAUUCCAGGUGCUUGAGAGGCUGACACACUAGGAUUGCUUGAACCUGGGAGGCAGAGGUUGCAGUGAGCCCAGAUUGUGCCACUGCACUCCAGGCUGGGUGACAGAGCAAGACUCUGUCUCAAAAAAAAAAAUUAAAAAGCUUAUGCCUUUUGCCGUCAUGCACUUCCCUGUCUUUUCCAACUUCACCUCCUGCACGUCUUCCCCCUGCCUUCAGGUAUGCUAUACUCUUCCUCCUGCCAUGGUUUCUGCCCUAACCUCAGCCUGGAACUUUCUUCCUUUCCCGACCUGACUUGGACAAUUCUGAUCAUUUAUCAACAGAUAGCCAGAGUUGUCACCUAGGGCAGCCCCAACUCCAAAUCCUAAAUUCAACGACAUCAGCCUCUGACCACAGCCUCUGUGCCCUCCACUGCCUGCCUCUCACCCAGGCUCUGCAGGGUUAAGACUGAAUGUGCUUGUGUGCUAUGAUUUGCCUAGAGCCUAGGGUAUAGAAGACCGGCUCUUGUUUGCUGAGUCGAAUUAAGUUGAAGCCCACUACACUUCCUUCUCUAUCUCAUUGAGAUAUCUAGGACCUCAACCCUUCUUUUCUUCCCUCAGUUAUUCAUUGGAAAGUUAUUUGCCAAAUACCCUUGCCACAUAGUCCCCAUCGCAGUCAGGGUUCUCCAGAGAGACAGAACCAACAGGCUUCAUAUAUGAGAGAGGAUUUAUUAGGGAAAUUGGUUCAUGUGAUUAUGGAGACUGAGAAGUCCCCACAACCAGCAAUCUAUAAGCUGGAAACCCUGAGAUGCUGGUAGCAUGGCUUAGUCCAAGUCUGAAGGCCUCCAAGCCAGGGAAGCUGAUGGGGUGUAACUCUCAGUCCAAGGCCAAAGGCUGGAGACCCUGAGGGACUGCUGGUGUUAAGUAUUCAGGCCAGGGAGCCUGAAGUUGUUGUCCAAGGACAGGAGAUGAAGAGUGUGUCCCAGCUCCAGCAGAUAGAUGGACAUAUUGGUCUUUUCUCUGUUUCUAUUCUCUCUGGGCCCCCAUCAGAUUGGAUGGUGACCACGCUGAGGGCAGAUCUUCCCUACCUCGUUUACAAAGACUCAGAUGCUAUCACCUCUGGAAACACCCUCACAGACACACCAAAAAUAAUGCUUUACCAGGUUUCUAGGCAUUCUUUAAUCCAGUCAAGUUGACAUCAAAAAUUAACCAUCACACGAGGCAGGCAGAUCACUUGAGGCCAGGAGUUUGAGACCAGCCUGGCCAACAUGGUGAAAUCUCGUCUCUACUAAAAAUAAAGAAAAUUAGUCAGGUGUGGUGGCAUGUGCUCCACUUAUAAUCCCAGCUACUCAGGAGGCUGAGGCACGAGAAUCACUUGAACCCCAGAGGUGGAUGUUGCAGUGAGUCAAGAUCGUGCCACGGCACUCCAGCCUGGGCGACAGAGGGAGACUCUGUCUCCAAAUACAAAUAAACAGACCAGGUGUGGUGGCUCAUGCCUGUAAUCCCAGCACUUUGGAGGGCCAAGGCAGGCAGACCACCUGAAGUCAGGAAUUCAAGACCAGCCUGGCCAAUAUGGUGAAACCCCGUCCAAAAAAAAAAAAAAAAAGGAAGAAAGAAAGAAAGAAAACAAAAAAUAAAAAAAUAAAUACCAUAAAAUAGAUUUAACCAUCACAGUCCCCACUCUCAGGAAGCGAGUCAGUGAUAG
rnacentral:lncRNA from 1 species